rnacentral:rRNA from 1 species
UACGAAGGGUGCAAGCGUUACUCGGAAUUACUGGGCGUAAAGCGUGCGUAGGUGGUGGUUUAAGUCCGUUGUGAAAGCCCUGGGCUCAACCUGGGAAUUGCAGUGGAUACUGGAUCACUAGAGUGUGGUAGAGGAUAGUGGAAUUUCCGGUGUAGCAGUGAAAUGCGUAGAGAUCGGAAGGAACAUCUGUGGCGAAGGCGACUAUCUGGGCCAACACUGACACUGAGGCACGAAAGCGUGGGGAGCAAACAGG